rnacentral:rRNA from 1 species
CCUACGGGGGGCUGCAGUGAGGAAUAUUGGUCAAUGGGCGCAAGCCUGAACCAGCCAUCCCGCGUGCAGGAAGACGGCCCUAUGGGUUGUAAACUGCUUUUCCAGGGGGAGAAUUUUUCUGUCGUGACAGGAAUUGACGGUACCCUGGGAAUAAGCAUCGGCUAACUCCGUGCCAGCAGCCGCGGUAAUACGGAGGAUGCGAGCGUUAUCCGGAUUUAUGGGGUCUUAGGGGUGCGUAGGCGGAUGGGUAGAAAACCUGCAGCUUAACUGUAGACUUGCCGUUGAUACUGUCAGUCUUGAGUGUGGUCAAGGUAGGCGGAAUGUGUAAUGUAGCGGUGAAAUGCUUAGAUAUUACACAGAACACCGAUUGCGAAGGCAGCUUACUGGGCCAUUACUGACGCUGAUGCACGAAAGCGUGGGGAUCGAACAGGAUUAGAUACCCGUGUAGUC